AACACACACAUGCACGCACACGCGUUAGAGUGUACGUCGGCCUUACGUCGGCGAAGAAAAGUGCCCGCUGCGCCUGUUUCAUCUUGAAGCGUUUGAUCUUCUGCUGGAUCCUCUUGUCCUUUUCCAGUUGGCCCUCCGUGGCCCACUCGCAAUGGAGCACACCCGGAGAAACCUACACGUGUUAUAAAGAAAGAAGAAAUAAAGAGACAAUUUACCACACAGAUGACAGGCAUCAGACACAUCACCACAGAUGAAGAAGGAAAGAGCGGAGCGUUACCUCUUUCUUGACGACGCGAGAGGACAUGAUUUUGUCAACGACAGCGGCGUCUUCUUCACUGGGGUUUUCCUUCAGAUGGAGAUGAGAAAAAACAAUGUUCCAAAUGGGAAAAUGCAUGACUACACAGUGACAGAAGUGGCAAGUACUCACCACAAAGAGCUGCACCGCAGGCUGCUUGGACGCCACAGUGUUGGCCUUCUUGGCUUUGACGAUCACCUUGCCAUCCUCGUCUGACAGCCUGGCCUCCAGUUCCUCGGCGUACUUCUUCCUCUUCACCUGACGAUUAGAGCGUCUCUUCUGAAAUGCAAAGAUAUACAAAAAAAUAAUUAUUCCAACGGUUAGCACCUUGGCUUUUUUUUUUUUAAUGACAUUUGAAAUAGUACCCGACUCCAGGGAAUGAUGUAAAACCCAAUUGGCCUUAGUACUUUCUCUAUUCAGGUUGCCACCUUGCUAUAAAUUAACAUGCCAACUGUAAGGAAGGAUGUUAGCAUUUAUAGGACUUUUGUUUUGGCUUUUAUAUUAAGAGAAGUUUACUUAUUUUGUCUUUCUAUUGUUUGACAGCAUAUAAAAUUAUACUUCAAAAAAACUUCAGUUUAGGAAGGCGACAAUAUCCCUCGACAGACUUUCGAGGGUUCACUUUAUAUAAUCAAUAAUAUAACCAAUAACUGCUGAGUUUAUUUGUUUGGGUUUUAUUUUUAAUCACACUGCUAAGUACAUGUCAUCGUGGCUUCUCGCGAUCCUGAAGUUACGAUGAAUAAACAAUAAAUGUGGCAAAAAUUGUA